rnacentral:rRNA from 1 species
UUAUGAAAUGCAAGUUGGUUAAUACCCAACCUGUUUGACAAAGGCCCCAAAGGAAGCCACGGCUAACUCUGUGCCAGCAGCCGCGGUAAUACAGAGGUGGCAAGCGUUGUUCGGUAUUAUUGGGCGUAAAGAGCACGUAGGUGGUUUUGUAAGUCAGAUGUGAAAGCCUUCUGUUCUAAGGAAGAACGGCAUCUGAAACUGCAGAUCUUGAGUGUAGGAGGGGAGAGUGGAAC